GGGGGCGUCGGUUAAUAGGCAAACCACCGGUCUCCAAAACCGGCACACUGGGGGUUCGAUUCCCUCCGCCCCUG
rnacentral:tRNA from 1 species